GGGGGUGUAGCUCAGGGGUAGAGCACUUGCCUAGCAAGCACAAGACCCUGGGUUCAUCCCCA
rnacentral:tRNA from 1 species